rnacentral:rRNA from 1 species
UACGUAGGGUGCGAGCGUUGUCCGGAAUUAUUGGGCGUAAAGAGCUCGUAGGCGGCUUGUCGCGUCGGAUGUGAAAGCCCGGGGCUUAACUCCGGGUCUGCAUUCGGUACGGGCAGGCUAGAGUUCGGUAGGGGAGAUCGGAAUUCCUGGUGUAGCGGUGAAAUGCGCAGAUAUCAGGAGGAACACCGGUGGCGAGGGCGGAUCUCUGGGACGGUACUGACGCUGAGACGCGAAAGCGUGGGGAGUGAACAGG